rnacentral:rRNA from 1 species
AGGGUUUGAUCAUGGCUCAGAUUGAACGCUAGCGGUAUGCUUAACACAUGCAAGUCGUACGGUAUAAAUCAUUUUUUUGAUUUUUAUAGUGGCGAACGGGUGAGUAAAACAUAGAAAUCUGCCUAGAAGAGAGGAAUAACUAUUGGAAACUUUAGCUAAUACCUCAUAAUCCCUUUGUAGCAAAGCAGGGGACCAUUUUUUGGCCUUGCGCUUUUAGAUGAGUCUAUGUCAGAUUAGCUAGUUGGUAAGGUAAUGGCUUACCAAGGCUGUGAUCUGUAGCUGGUUUGGGAGAAUGAUCAGCCACACUGGGACUGAGACACGGCCCAGACUCCUACGGGAGGCAGCAGUGGGGAAUUUUGGACAAUGAGCGAAAGCUUGAUCCAGCAAUAUCGCGUGUGUGAAGAAGGCCUGAGGGUUGUAAAGCACUUUCGGUGAGGAAGAAGUAUUUAUUAUUAAUAAUAAUGUAUAUUGACGUUACUCACAAAAGAAGCACCGGCUAACUCUGUGCCAGCAGCCGCGGUAAUACAGAGGGUGCAAGUGUUAAUCGGAAUUAUUGGGCGUAAAGAGUAUGUAGGUGGUUUUAUAAGUUGGGUGUAAAAUCUCUGGGCUCAACCCAGAAAGGUCACUCAAAACUAUAUAACUAGAGAUUUGAAGAGGAAAG